AGUAAAAUAGACUAAAUAAUAAGUCAUUAGGCCCAUAACCUAAAUAUGAAAAACUCUUUUACU
rnacentral:tRNA from 1 species